rnacentral:rRNA from 1 species
UACAGAGGGUGCGAGCGUUGUUCGGAAUUACUGGGCGUAAAGAGCUCGUAGGCGGUCUGUCGCGUCGGAUGUGAAAAAUCCAGGGCUCAACCCUGGACCUGCAUUCGAUACGGGCAGACUAGAGUUCGGUAGGGGAGACUGGAAUUCCUGGUGUAGCGGUGAAAUGCGCAGAUAUCAGGAGGAACACCGGUGGCGAAGGCGGGUCUCUGGGCCGAAACUGACGCUGAGGAGCGAAAGCGUGGGGAGCAAACAGG